UACGGAAGGGGCGAGCGUUGUUCGGAAUCAUUGGGCGUAAAGGGCGCGUAGGUGGUCCUGUAUGUCUACCGUGAAAGCGUACGGCUCAACCGUAUUUUGUCGGUAGAAACUGCAGGACUUGAGGCUGGGAGGGGCUGGUGGAAUUCCCUGUGUAGCGGUGAAAUGCGUAGAGAUGGGGGAGAACACUCGUGGCGAAGGCGGCACUCUGGGCCGAUACUGACACUGAGGAGCGAAAGCCAGGGGAGCAAACGGG
rnacentral:rRNA from 1 species